AUCUCUUGGUUCUGUUCUGGUUCUGGGCCCACAGGCAGGACGAUUCGUCUGUGGAUGAUGAGAAGAGGAGGAAUUAUGGUGGAGUGUAUGUGGGCUUACCUGCAGACCUCAGCAAUGUGGCCACCGGACAAACACCCUCCACACACAAAGAAUAAUGAUAUUCAGAGCUGAAGGCACAGUAAAGGACUUUCCAGAGGGAAUCUUGGCUGAAAAUUGUUGCGUAAUAAUCUCAACAGG